AGGGGAGUGUGGGUGGGACGUUGUAAGAACUCGGGAGCUUGUAUAUAAGAGCUAUGAGGUUCAGAACUACCUUUAGUCUUCAACGGACUCAGGAUCUACAACUACCCAAUUCAGAUCUGAAUAACCUUCCUCAACCAUGUGUGACGAAGACGCAUGUGCUCUAGUGGUCGACAAUGGCUCUGGCAUGGUCAAGGCCGGAUUCGCCGGAGACGACGCCCCUCGUGCCGUCUUCCCCUCCAUCGUCGGCCGCCCUCGCCAUCAGGGUGUGAUGGUCGGUAUGGGUCAGAAGGACGCCUACGUCGGCGAUGAGGCCCAGAGCAAGAGAGGUAUCCUCACUCUCAAGUACCCCAUUGAGCACGGUAUCAUCACCAACUGGGACGACAUGGAGAAGAUCUGGCAUCACUCCUUCUACAACGAACUCCGUGUUGCUCCUGAGGAAUCUCCCGUCCUCCUCACUGAGGCUCCCCUCAACCCCAAGGCCAACCGUGAGAAGAUGACCCAGAUCAUGUUCGAGACUUUCAGCGCUCCCGCCAUGUACGUGGCCUAUCCAGGCUGUGCUCUCCCUGUACGCCUCUGGUCGUACCACUGGUAUUGUGCUGGACUCUGGUGAUGGCGUCUCUCACACUGUCCCCAUCUACGAAGGUUAUGCUCUUCCUCACGCCAUCCUUCGUCUUGACUUGGCUGGUCGUGACCUUACCGCUUACCUGAUGAAGAUCAUGACUGAACGUGGCUAUUCCUUCACCACCACCGCUGAACGGGAAAUCGUUCGUGACAUCAAGGAGAAGCUUUGCUACGUCGCCCUUGACUUCGAGAGUGAGAUGAACGUUGCUGCUGCUUCCUCCUCCCUUGAGAAGUCCUAUGAACUUCCUGACGGUCAGGUCAUCACCAUUGGCAAUGAACGCUUCCGCGCCCCUGAGUCCCUGUUCCAGCCUUCCUUCCUGGGUAUGGAAUCUGUUGGUAUCCACGAGACCGUGUACAACUCCAUCAUGAGGUGCGACAUUGAUAUCAGGAAGGAUCUGUUUGCUAACAUUGUUAUGUCUGGUGGUACCACCAUGUACCCUGGUAUCGCUGACCGUAUGCAGAAGGAGAUCACUUCUCUGGCUCCUUCCACCAUCAAGAUCAAGAUCAUUGCUCCUCCCGAGCGCAAAUACUCCGUGUGGAUCGGUGGUUCCAUCCUGGCCUCUCUGUCCACCUUCCAGGCCAUGUGGAUCACCAAGGAAGAAUAUGACGAGUCAGGCCCCGGCAUCGUUCAUCGCAAGUGCUUCUAAGUUUACUUUACGUUGAUCAUGAUGCAAAGAUACUUUAUUCGGACUUCCUCUCAUACGAUUACCGUUCACUUGAACUGUGAAUGAAUUCUUUACGGAUCUCUUUAAAAUAGUAAUUGCCA